GGUUUGGUCCUGCGCAAUGAAAACCUGUGAACCUCGUCAGGUCCGGAAGGAAGCAGCGAUAAGCGGAUCUUUUUAUGUGCCGCAGAUUUGCCUGAUCCCG
rnacentral:SRP_RNA from 1 species